CUCGUAGGCGGCCAACUAAGUCGGACGUGAAAUCCCCAGGCUCAACCUGGGAACUGCGUCCGAUACUGGAUGGCUUGAAUCCGGGAGAGGGAUGCAGAAUUCCAGGUGUAGCGGUGAAAUGCGUAGAUAUCUGGGGAAUACCGGUGGCGAAGGCGGCAUCCUGGACCGGCAUUGACGCUGAGGAGCGAAAGCCAGGGGAGCAAAACGG
rnacentral:rRNA from 1 species